CUUCCGUAGGGUGAACCUGCGGAAGGAUCAUUACCGAGUGCGGGCUGCCUCCGGGCGCCCAACCUCCCACCCGUGACUACCUAACACUGUUGCUUCGGCGGGGAGCCCCCCAGGGGCGAGCCGCCGGGGACCACUGAACUUCAUGCCUGAGAGUGAUGCAGUCUGAGCCUGAAUACAAAUCAGUCAAAACUUUCAACAAUGGAUCUCUUGGUUCCGGCAUCGAUGAAGAACGCAGCGAACUGCGAUAAGUAAUGUGAAUUGCAGAAUUCAGUGAAUCAUCGAGUCUUUGAACGCACAUUGCGCCCCCUGGCAUUCCGGGGGGCAUGCCUGUCCGAGCGUCAUUGCUGCCCUCAAGCCCGGCUUGUGUGUUGGGUCGUCGUCCCCCCCGGGGGACGGGCCCGAAAGGCAGCGGCGGCACCGUGUCCGGUCCUCGAGCGUAUGGGGCUUUGUCACCCGCUCGAUUAGGGCCGGCCGGGCGCCAGCCGGCGUCUCCAACCUUAUUUUUCUCAGGUGACCUCGGAUC
rnacentral:rRNA from 1 species